GGCAUUGUGGCUCGGUGGUAGAGCAUUUGCCUAGCACGGGCAAACCCCUGGCUUCAAUUCCAGCACUGCCA
rnacentral:tRNA from 1 species